rnacentral:lncRNA from 15 species
GUGGACUCCUAUCUUUCUCCGCACCCCCCCUCCUCCUCCUCUUCCUCCACCUCCUCCUCUUCUUUUACUCUCCGGGUUGGUUCUAACUCUUGUGUUUUGUGGCUGUUAAUUACAUGAAGUGGAAUUUGGUGCUUGCUACGAAGUGAAGACGGGACUAAACGUAGUGGGUUCAGAGAAGGAGAGAAAUGCCAACGGCGGUGACAAAGAGGAGAUUCAGGUUAUCUCCGUCAUUAAACGGCAGGAGAGACUGCCACUUCGGGGUUCAUGCUGGAUCUUAAAGAGCGCUUCGGCAGCCACAAGACCAGAGCUCAGUAGGUGUCUGUCCUGAGGCCCUUCUCCCCUCUGGUGCAGUGCUCUAAUGUGAGCAUGUGCUUUUUCACAUUAGCAAAGGCAACAGUGUGGCUGCCAUUUGACUGAGCUGUUUAACAGGCCGACGCAAUGUUUAUGUGUGAUGCUGACACAGGAGGAGCAGCGAGCGCCUGUGUGGAGGACUGGGUCCUCUAGCACAUGUCAAUAAACAGCUAGGAAGAAGAGGAUUAUAUUGCACUUGUCAAUCUAGAAAGUCAGGAUAAGUAAAUGUCAGUUUUGCCUGAGGAUGACUGCAAAUAAUUCAGUAACUUGGCUGCUAUAUGUGUUAUUAAUCUUCAUAAUAAAGAUUAGACCCACUAGCAGGGUUUUACAAUAACAAUUGUCCUGUCGCUCGGGGCCAGUUGCUCUGAAAGAGCUUUUGGUCUUAAUAUUUGCCCAGAGAUAAGUCUGUUAUCUUUGCCUCUCUACUCUGCCGUGGUCCUACUCACUUGUCUUGUCCUUUUUCUAACAAGCGAGAUUGGAUACUACAUAUAUAUAUAUAUAUUGAAGAUGAACUGACUGAAAUAUAUGUGAUCGAUAUAGGUUUUUCUUACUAGCUUAUUUUGUAGCUGAAAUGAAUUUAUCACAAUUCUUUCUUUUUUUUUGUCAUUUAUUGGCUAGGUCCCUUCUUCUUCUGACUCUACUCAAUAAGCAAGUUCAUAUAAACAGGUAGUUAUUGGAACUACUCAUGGAUGAAGCUACAGAAAGGUUGUAAAGUGCCAUACUUUUUAAUAACAUGGCUAUAUAUAUAUGGAUACAGGAACAAUUGUUUACAGUUAUUUAAGUGUAAUUACUAAAACACCAUAAAAGUGGAUGGGACGGGUAAAGGACAACAAGUGUGAAAGAUGUAAAUUUAAAAAAACUUGGGACUCAUUACUGGGUCUUAUCUAUCUAUAAAAAUGUAAAAUAUAUGUGUAUAUAUAUAUAUAUAUAUAUAUAUAUAUAUAUAUAUAUAUAUAUAUAUAUUUAAAAAGGGGCUCUAAUUUGCUGUGGAUGCAGUCAGAUUUAACCAUGUGCCUUUCUUAAAUAUUUGAAAAUGAUGCAACGCUAGCUAAGAAUCUUUCCAUUGUCACUAUCUGAAAUAAUGUUUGUAUUCCUUUUGGUUUCAAUUAUGCGUAUUCAUUAUUGACUACAUUUUAAUUAUAGUCCUGUUGUGGGUUUUGAAAUCAAAGCUUUCUCAUACCGACCUACUUUUAAAGUAAAACACGUCCACUGAAGCUUAAAUAUUCCCUAAGUUUAAUAAACAAUUACUCUUAUGAAUGGUAGGAUAUUCACUUCUAUGUAUGAGCACUGUUGAUUUGCUGCUUGAUCAAAAAGGCUUGUAGGCUCACUGGCUUAUUUCAUCAGUGAAAUUAUAUAAUAAGGCACAAACUCGGUAUCUUGCAUGAAAUGAAAUUAAAGAUGUUUAAUUAUUAUUGUGCAUGAACUCAUGCGAGCGACUUUGGACUUUGUGCCCUUUGACUAGUGAUGCAUUAAAGCAAGACACAAUGAAUGUUUGCAUGUUAAAAAUAGAGUGGAUUCCGUAAACUGUCUUUCAGUAUUCAUUUUCUUGAAAGUUUUGAGUUGAUAUUCUUCUGAAUUUUGCCUUUCACAUCUUAUGGCUUGUAGGAGCAGGCUGUAAGAUUGCAAGAGAGAAUUGAAAGAGAAUAAGGACUUGAGCGUGCAUGAAAAAAAACCGGAAGAGUUAAUAAUGUG